rnacentral:lncRNA from 1 species
AAGUUUAUAGAAGUGUAUAUUUAUUGAUCACUAAUUUAGGACAGACUUCUUAUUGCUGUUUGCCACAAACCCUACAAACCAGUCUCAGGGUUUGGGACAUUUUCAUUAUUAUUGAUUUUUUUUUAUACAUGUAUAUAUAUGUUAAGGGAAAAAAGGGGUGCAAUGGUUUUAUCUUGUAAUAAACUUUUAAAUGAGACUAUUUCAAGUUUUGUGUAAUUUAAAUUUGUCAGUAGCAGUUAAACGGAUAUGUACAUGUAAUAUUAGCAAAUCUAUUACAAACUAAGUAAUUAUUUACAGCUUGUCUUGCAGUCUACUCCACCGUUAAAAAUCUUUAGUAUUUAGGUGUCGAAAACAGCUUUAAUUUAUAUAUAUACUAGUCUAGAAUGUAUUGUAAUCUUCAUCCUGGGGAAUUCUAGAAGUUGCCCAAUUUAUGAGUAUCGUACACUGUAUGUUUAGGUGCCGUUUGUUAUUUUAGGCUGGUGCAUUACGAGGAACUUUUCAUUUGCAUAAAUCAUUGGCCCUACUGGUUGCUUGGCAACAGUUGAUUCCAAAUUAUGGUUGUUAUUUAUUAUGAAUUAUAGUACCGGUUGAAUUUCAGUAACAGUUAGCAUGAAUGCUGGACUAUUUGAAAUGUUAUGCUUUUAAUUAUGAGGGUAUCUAGAUGUUGUUAAGCACUUGUUUGUGCUUUGUUUUUUGUGUAACACAGGUCAUCUUUUAUAACUUUUGGAUGU